UAGGGAAUCUUCCGCAAUGGACGCAAGUCUGACGGAGCAACGCCGCGUGAGUGAAGAAGGAUUUCGGUUCGUAAAACUCUGUUGUUAGAGAAGAACAGCGCAUAGAGUAACUGUUAUGCGUGUGACGGUAUCUAACCAGAAAGCCACGGCUAACUACGUGCCAGCAGCCGCGGUAAUACGUAGGUGGCAAGCGUUGUCCGGAUUUAUUGGGCGUAAAGCGAGCGCAGGCGGUCAAUUAAGUCUGAUGUGAAAGCCCCCGGCUCAACCGGGGAGGGUCAUUGGAAACUGGUUGACUUGAGUGCAGAAGAUGAGAGUGGAAUUCCAUGUGUAGCGGUGAAAUGCGUAGAUAUAUGGAGGAACACCAGUGGCGAAGGCGACUCUCUGGUCUGUAACUGACGCUGAGGCUCGAAAGCGUGGGUAGCAAACAGG
rnacentral:rRNA from 1 species